rnacentral:rRNA from 1 species
UGAUCUCAGGUCGGACGGGAGCACCCGCUUAAUUUAAGCAUAUCAAUAAGCGGAGGAAA